ACAAGAAUCACCUGGAGAUCUUGUUAAAAUGCAGAUUUUGAUGAAGUUGGGAGGUGAGGCCUGAGAUUCUGUAUAUUUAACAAGCUCCCAGGGGAUGUGUAA
rnacentral:pre_miRNA from 1 species